AGGAAAAUUUGGAUUUGGAGGACAUACGGAUUUAGCGACCCCGGAAUCGUGUUUGAUGGAUUUAUGCUAAAUUCACAUGGAGCUGGAUGUUGCCAUCAUCAAGGCCACCAAUCACGUUGAGUGCCCGCCGAAGGAGAGGCACAUCAGAAAAAUCUUGGUCAUUUCUGGCAUAUCGCGCCCUCGGACUGAUGUAGCCUAUUGCAUAAGUGCUCUUGCAAGACGGCUCGCAAAGACUCAUAAUUGGACGGUACACAUGCUUUUUCGAGUUUUCCUCCACAU